AACUGGCUUCCUUGAAUUCCCCGAGUUGUUCCUUGUGCAGCUCACCAGCCUCUGCAGCAGACUUCUGGUGACCAUUUAUUUUCUUCAUUUUUCCAGGCUUUGAGAUGCUCGAGUCUUUGGCUAGCAGUGAUCAUUCCUCAUUUCAGGGCAGGAAUACCCCUGUCGUGGGCAAGCCGCCUCCACUUCUUCCAACCCCUGGAAAGCCGUCCUUCUCGGGCCCUCAUCCCCCCCUUCCUGCCAAGCCCCCAUUGUUAGGGGACAGACCAGGAGGGGCUCUCCUUCCACCACCAGGAUUGGGCAACCCCAAAGGUCUGUUUGCCCCUCCCCUGCUUCCAGCAGCCCCCUCCAAGAGAUCUGCUCCUUUGGGAUGCCCCCAUCCCAAGCGUGCCAAGCGUCCACUACUUGGGGAGAAACCAGGCCUUCUAGCACCACCUCCAGUUCUUCAGUCAGUGCUGCACAAGCAGACGGUGCAGCCCGCAUCUCUGCUGAACUAAGGAAAGCUCCCGGAGCCAGGAGAACAAGGGGGCUGUUGCCCAGAGGGCGGCUUCACCCUCCUCCGAGGACCGAGGCCCGUCUGACUCGCGGCACUGGUGUCCGGGCAGCGGGCAUGGACGUGCUUCCCUUCUGCCCGAUACGUGGUCCCGUGGAAACGUGCUUCCUGGUUGGAGUCUCUGUGCCAAAUUAGAGACGUGUGGAAGGUCAUUGUUGUAGAAAUUGGAUCCUGAAGUUGUCCGAUUAUACACAUACUAAAAUAAAAUAAAAACUUGUAGCUUUUGCAUACUGGUUGCCGCUUUUUAAGGACUUGUUAUUUUGGAAUGAUUUUAGGUUUAUAGACAAUUCCCAGAGAUAGUACAGGGAGUUCCCUUUAUCCAGCUUCCCCUGAUGUUGACAUCUUAUAAAACCAUGGUACCUUUACUG